AUGGGAUGGGAUGGGAUGGGAUGGGAUGGGAUGGGAUGGGAUGGGAUGGGAUGGGAUGGGAUGGGAUGGGAUGGGAUGGGAUGGGACUGCUGGGGCACUGCUGUCCCUCCACUCGCUGUCCCUCUUGCCCUGCGUGUUUUGGGGUGUGCCAAGCUGGCCGGGACCGGUUCUGCACCAGCCCCUCCGUGCCCCAGGUUCGAUUCGAGGCAAGUGGUGGCACUGGAGGGGUGGGGCUCUCCUGGGGGCAGCUCUGGUGUGACAUGUUCCACUCUGCUGCUGGCAGCGUCCCUUUUCGCCGUCUGGGUUUCUCUGCUCUGCCACUGCUCCAGUUCUGGGGUGUCUCUGGAGGAUGAGGGAGGUGGUGUGAUCCUGUCUGGGAGCUGGAGGAACCAGGGCAGGUGCUCGGGGGAGACGGGGGCAGCGAAGCUGCAGCUGAGGAAGGAGCAGGAUGCUCUGAUCCAGCGCACACUGGAGCAGCCACAGGACCUGGAAGGCUGUGCAGAUCCUCUGAGCUCACCCCGGCCAUGGGGCAGGAGUAGCUCAUCAGCCCCCUCUUCCCCAGCUGGGGGAGGUGAUGGGGCCUGGGGGGGCUCCCUGCGUGGACACCCCCACAGGGGGGUGCAGGACCAGCACGGGAGGGGCUGCCCAGCUCCCGGUGGACGCCGAGCACAUCCUCCCUGUGCAGCUCCCUCAGCACCUGCCCUGCCCCUGCAGGAGCUCCACACCCCUGGGAGCCCGGCCUGCCCUUCCUGGGCUGCUGCCAGUGUCCCAUUUCGAGGUGCCUGA
rnacentral:lncRNA from 1 species